rnacentral:rRNA from 1 species
GGGCCCGCACAAGCAGUGGAGCGUGUGGUUUAAUUCGAGGCAACGCGCAGAACCUUACCAGGGUUUGACAUCAUACUGACGUCUGUAGAAACACAGAUUUCCGUUUAGGCGGACGGUAUGACAGGUGUUGCAUGGUUGUCGUCAGCUCGUGUCGUGAGAUGUUGGGUUAAGUCCCGCAACGAGCGCAACCCCUAUCCAAUGUUGCCAACAGGUAAAGCUGGGGACUCAUUGGAGACUGCCGGAGACGAUCUGGAGGAAGGUGGGGAUGAGGUCAAAUCAUCAUGGCCCUUAAGCCCUGGGCUACACACGCGCUACAAUGGCCGGUACAACGGGCAGCGAAGGAGCGAUCUGGAGCGAAUCCCAAAAAGCCGGCCCCAGUUGGAAUCGCAGGCUGCAACCCGCCUGCGUGAACAUGGAAUUGCUAGUAAUCGCGAAUCAGCUACGUCGCGGUGAAUACGUUCCCGGGCCUU